rnacentral:rRNA from 1 species
GACAGAGGGUGCAAACGUUGUUCGGAAUUACUGGGCGUAAAGCGCGUGUAGGUGGUGGGGCAAGUCGGAUGUGAAAGCCCAGGGCUCAACCCUGGAAGUGCAUUCGAUACUGCUUCACUGGAGUCCCGGAGAGGAUGGUGGAACUCUCGGUGUAGAGGUGAAAUUCGUAGAUAUCGAGAAGAACACCGGCGGCGAAGGCGGCCAUCUGGACGGUUUCUGACGCUAAGACGCGAAAGCGUGGGGAGCAAACAGG